rnacentral:rRNA from 3 species
UUAAGUUAUUAAGGGCGCACGGUGGAUGCCUUGGCACUAGAAGCCGAUGAAGGACGUUACUAACGACGAUAUGCUUUGGGGAGCUGUAAGUAAGCUUUGAUCCAGAGAUUUCCGAAUGGGGAAACCCAGCAUGAGUUAUGUCAUGUUAUCGAUAUGUGAAUACAUAGCAUAUCAGAAGGCACACCCGGAGAACUGAAACAUCUUAGUACCCGGAGGAAGAGAAAGAAAAUUCGAUUCCCUUAGUAGCGGCGAGCGAAACGGGAAGAGCCCAAACCAACAAGCUUGCUUGUUGGGGUUGUAGGACACUCUAUACGGAGUUACAAAGGACGACAUUAGACGAAUCAUCUGGAAAGAUGAAUCAAAGAAGGUAAUAAUCCUGUAGUCGAAAAUGUUGUCUCUCUUGAGUGGAUCCUGAGUACGACGGAGCACGUGAAAUUCCGUCGGAAUCUGGGAGGACCAUCUCCUAAGGCUAAAUACUCUCUAGUGACCGAUAGUGAACCAGUACCGUGAGGGAAAGGUGAAAAGCACCCCGGAAGGGGAGUGAAAUAGAACCUGAAACCGUGUGCUUACAAGUAGUCAGAGCCCGUUAAUGGGUGAUGGCGUGCCUUUUGUAGAAUGAACCGGCGAGUUACGAUUUGAUGCAAGGUUAAGCAGUAAAUGUGGAGCCGUAGCGAAAGCGAGUCUGAAUAGGGCGUUUAGUAUUUGGUCGUAGACCCGAAACCAGGUGAUCUACCCUUGGUCAGGUUGAAGUUCAGGUAACACUGAAUGGAGGACCGAACCGACUUACGUUGAAAAGUGAGCGGAUGAACUGAGGGUAGCGGAGAAAUUCCAAUCGAACCUGGAGAUAGCUGGUUCUCUCCGAAAUAGCUUUAGGGCUAGCCUCAAGUGAUGAUUAUUGGAGGUAGAGCACUGUUUGGACGAGGGGCCCCUCUCGGGUUACCGAAUUCAGACAAACUCCGAAUGCCAAUUAAUUUAACUUGGGAGUCAGAACAUGGGUGAUAAGGUCCGUGUUCGAAAGGGAAACAGCCCAGACCACCAGCUAAGGUCCCAAAAUAUAUGUUAAGUGGAAAAGGAUGUGGCGUUGCCCAGACAACUAGGAUGUUGGCUUAGAAGCAGCCAUCAUUUAAAGAGUGCGUAAUAGCUCACUAGUCGAGUGACACUGCGCCGAAAAUGUACCGGGGCUAAACAUAUUACCGAAGCUGUGGAUUGUCCUUUGGACAAUGGUAGGAGAGCGUUCUAAGGGCGUUGAAGCAUGAUCGUAAGGACAUGUGGAGCGCUUAGAAGUGAGAAUGCCGGUGUGAGUAGCGAAAGACGGGUGAGAAUCCCGUCCACCGAUUGACUAAGGUUUCCAGAGGAAGGCUCGUCCGCUCUGGGUUAGUCGGGUCCUAAGCUGAGGCCGACAGGCGUAGGCGAUGGAUAACAGGUUGAUAUUCCUGUACCACCUAUAAUCGUUUUAAUCGAUGGGGGGACGCAGUAGGAUAGGCGAAGCGUGCGAUUGGAUUGCACGUCUAAGCAGUAAGGCUGAGUAUUAGGCAAAUCCGGUACUCGUUAAGGCUGAGCUGUGAUGGGGAGAAGACAUUGUGUCUUCGAGUCGUUGAUUUCACACUGCCGAGAAAAGCCUCUAGAUAGAAAAUAGGUGCCCGUACCGCAAACCGACACAGGUAGUCAAGAUGAGAAUUCUAAGGUGAGCGAGCGAACUCUCGUUAAGGAACUCGGCAAAAUGACCCCGUAACUUCGGGAGAAGGGGUGCUCUUUAGGGUUAACGCCCAGAAGAGCCGCAGUGAAUAGGCCCAAGCGACUGUUUAUCAAAAACACAGGUCUCUGCUAAACCGUAAGGUGAUGUAUAGGGGCUGACGCCUGCCCGGUGCUGGAAGGUUAAGAGGAGUGGUUAGCUUCUGCGAAGCUACGAAUCGAAGCCCCAGUAAACGGCGGCCGUAACUAUAACGGUCCUAAGGUAGCGAAAUUCCUUGUCGGGUAAGUUCCGACCCGCACGAAAGGCGUAACGAUUUGGGCACUGUCUCAACGAGAGACUCGGUGAAAUCAUAGUACCUGUGAAGAUGCAGGUUACCCGCGACAGGACGGAAAGACCCCGUGGAGCUUUACUGUAGCCUGAUAUUGAAAUUCGGCACAGCUUGUACAGGAUAGGUAGGAGCCUUUGAAACGUGAGCGCUAGCUUACGUGGAGGCGCUGGUGGGAUACUACCCUAGCUGUGUUGGCUUUCUAACCCGCACCACUUAUCGUGAUGGGAGACAGUGUCAGGCGGGCAGUUUGACUGGGGCGGUCGCCUCCUAAAAGGUAACGGAGGCGCUCAAAGGUUCCCUCAGAAUGGUUGGAAAUCAUUCAUAGAGUGUAAAGGCAUAAGGGAGCUUGACUGCGAGACCUACAAGUCGAGCAGGGUCGAAAGACGGACUUAGUGAUCCGGUGGUUCCGCAUGGAAGGGCCAUCGCUCAACGGAUAAAAGCUACCCCGGGGAUAACAGGCUUAUCUCCCCCAAGAGUUCACAUCGACGGGGAGGUUUGGCACCUCGAUGUCGGCUCAUCGCAUCCUGGGGCUGUAGUCGGUCCCAAGGGUUGGGCUGUUCGCCCAUUAAAGCGGUACGCGAGCUGGGUUCAGAACGUCGUGAGACAGUUCGGUCCCUAUCCGUCGUGGGCGUAGGAAAUUUGAGAGGAGCUGUCCUUAGUACGAGAGGACCGGGAUGGACAUACCUCUGGUGUACCAGUUGUCGUGCCAACGGCAUAGCUGGGUAGCUAUGUGUGGACGGGAUAAGUGCUGAAAGCAUCUAAGCAUGAAGCCCCCCUCAAGAUGAGAUUUCCCAACUUCGGUUAUAAGAUCCCUCAAAGAUGAUGAGGUUAAUAGGUUCGAGGUGGAAGCAUGGUGACAUGUGGAGCUGACGAAUACUAAUCGAUCGAAGACUUAAUCAA